CUUACCGAGCCAGCUCCUGUUCAGGUACACCGACACGAACACCGGAGGCACCGUGAAGAAGUCCACCACCGAGUUCACCUCCAGCCAGAACCACAGCUUGUCGUUGGCAGCGAUGAACUGGGGAGACAAGGAAGAGUAACACAAUAUGAGAAGCAGCAUUUUGUACAUGGAAAAGACGAUGGAGGGAGAUCUGGCUGCUGUAUCGAAAGUGAGAUUCAAGAGAUAAGAGCAGGAAUCAGCUACUUCGGUUGGACUUACGCGGAGGCCGAAGUACAGCAGGAAGAACACGUUGAACGCCAUGUCGAUCUGCAGCGUGAAGUCCUUGUAGAAGUUGUGACAGGACUCAAUGGGACUGUUGGAGACAGAGACACAGCGAGUUCAUGUCUAAAGAAAGAAGUGACAGUCAAGCCGGAGUUUCCCAUCUCAUCCACAGCACUUCAGUUCAAUGUGAAGCGGGAUCGAGCGGCAGAGUGGCAGACGCAGUGGUUUAAGGGUUAAGUGCAUGCAGGGUUCAUGUCUUCAGGCAGCCAAAGCAAAUGCAGUGAAGUCUCACCCUCAAAACGCUCGUAUCUGGCACCAAGAAUUCAAAUAAAGAGAAAUGAUUAAC